CAAAGGCCCCCAGCAGAUGCCACCGCCCACCCGCGCCCUCCCUCCGUUGGGGCUCCCGCCCUCCCGACCCAUCCCGCCCUCCAACGGGAUUCCCCGUCCCGAGGCCCGCCCCCGCCGCUCCUCCUCCGGGACACACUGCCCUCCCCGCAGCAGACACGGUCCUCGCCCGGGACUCUGUCGCUCCGUCGACCCCGUUCCCUCAGCCCUCGGAACCAGGAGUGGGCGCCCCGCUAACCCCGGCCAGAUGGGAGUGGACCACAUUGCUUUAGGGAAGUAUGCCAAGCGACAAGACAAGACAUAUGAAGACGUUUUGCCAUAACGAAGAAAAUAUGGUGACAAAAAUAUUCUGAGGUGGAAAGAAAGGGAGCCCUUCAGGUCUUUGUCCUAUAAAUUCGUGGAAAAACCGUUGGCACGUGGUCAGCUACUGGACCUUCGAAAAACAGUACCAGCACCUCUGCCCCACUUGGCCCAGCCCCACCCGCAGGCAGUUAAUAGGAGAAAGGAAUAACUGUGUCCCUCCUGGCUUUCGGGUGUGCAUCUUGCUCUUAAAUCCGAGGCCUCUGGGGCUGAAUGAAACUGGACAAAGUGUGCUGAGUAGCCUAACAGGGAUGGUUCUUUUUCUGAAAGUUCCCU